CCGGCGAACGGGUGCGUAACACGUGAGCAACCUACCGAUUUGUGGGGGAUAGCCGGCCCAACGGCCGGGUAAUACCGCAUACGCUUGUAAGGCCUCCUGGUCUAACAAGGAAACCUCCGGGGCAAAUCGAGGGGCUCGCGGCCUAUCAGCUAGUUGGCGAGGUCACGGCUCACCAAGGCGACGACGGGUAGCUGGUCUGAGAGGAUGGCCAGCCACAUUGGGACUGAGAAACGGCCCAG
rnacentral:rRNA from 1 species